rnacentral:rRNA from 1 species
CCAGCAUUUAGUUGGGCACUCUAAGGUGACUGCCGGUGGACAAACCGGAGGAAGGUGGGGAUGACGUCAAAUCAUCAUGCCCCUUAUGACCUGGGCUACACACGUGCUACAAUGGAUGGUACAAAGGGCUGCAAGACCGCGAGGUCAAGCCAAUCCCAUAAAACCAUUCUCAGUUCGGAUUGUAGGCUGCAACUCGCCUACAUGAAGCUGGAAUCGCUAGUAAUCGCGGAUCAGCAUGCCGCGGUGAAUACGUUACCCGGGCCU